CCCAUUUCCUGAGCCGGGUCCGGAUUUUUCGCGGCUGUAGCCUUCAAAACUACGUCGUUUCAUUGUUCGAUCAAACCUUCUCCGAGAUUGCCUCCCUUUCUCUCUCUACAAUCUACAUCUUCCAUUCUAUUUCCCGUGAGUAAUUCCGGCAUCCUUCAUCGCAGGAUGCAUAGCUUAACGUGAUUUGUUCCAUGGAAUUAAAACACUCAAGGUUCAAGGAGGAAUUUUUUCUCUAGGGUGAUAUAGUUCCCAAUUUAGUUGAUUUUAUCCAUUGUACUAGUAAUAUUCGUUUGGAUUUAUUUGGAAAAUGAUAUAGCUGAACACAAACAAAGGAAAAUAGCUGCAAAUAUAAUUUUUAGUUACUCCAUUUUGUUGCUUGGUGAUUGCUAUACAGGUGCGUUGUAAACAGUUAUUUACGUUUGUUGAUUUUGGUGGUUAUUUGUUAAUGAUGAUCGUUAUCAGGAACCGUUAUGUUUGGUUGAAGUUGGUGUUUUUUAAUUUUGUAAUGCAAUAUUUUGCCUAUUAUAGUAAAUACAUCUGCUGAUGCAUGCCAGGCUUGGAUUUCUAGCUUUGGGGAAUCUUUAGAAUUCAAGGUUCUUUCAUUUUUUUGAAGUAUUGGUUUUAACUUAUUAUGUGUGAUUUGUGAACAUUAAAUAACGACCAUUUUCACUACAUUAUCCUUUUUUGUGAGUUUGUAAUCUAGUUUUUGACAACUUUGUUGUUUGGAUCCUGCUUCUGCUAGUGUCUUAGUAACUUCCAAUGGAGACAUCUUCUGUUGGUUUAAUUUAUCCUUUUUUUCUUAAUUAUAAAUUUCAUGUAUCCAGAUGCCUUCUACACAAUUAGAAGAUAUGCAAACUUCUAUGCUGGUAAAAGAAAAUUUCUGUACGUUUUCCUGGGUCUAAUUUAUUUGCUUGCGUCGGUUGAAGAUGAAUAUGCAGCAAGCUCUCCCACCAAGAUCCUCUUCUAACGGAUAUCGUCACCAUAAAAUCGAAGGAGAUACCGCAACAAGAUUUAACAGUGUAGCAGACUCACAUGAAUCAAACUCUUGUGAUAGACUUAUAUAUUUAACUACAUGCCUCAUCGGGCAUAAAGUGGAAGUACAGGUGCAAGAUGGAUCACUAUUUUCUGGAAUCUUCCAUGCAAUCAGCGGGGAGGAUUAUGGAGUUAUUCUGAAAAUGGCAUGUUCAGUUAAGAAUGGUUCUCAAGGUCAGAAAAUAUUUCAGAUUCUUCC